GUGUGUGUAUCAGAAACUAUCAGCUGCUGUUGUUGUUGUUGGCGUGGAGCCGGCAGACGACAAUGAGGCGCAACACCGCAACACGUACGCCAAAAAAAAAAUGGCGUUGCGGAAAUCUCGAAAACACGAUAUGGAAACCUUGGAAAGAGCGCCAAACGGCAAAUGCGCAGGCAACGUAAAAAACCAAAACAAAAACACAGAUGUUAAAUUCAAAGAGACUGUGCGAAAAUAGAAGCAGAGCUUGAGCUUCUAAACAAUGCCAGACAGCAACAACAAAGCACGCUUACAAACAGACGUACAUACAUACAUACAUACAGAUACAUAUGUAUGUACAUAUACAGACAAACAUAUGUACAUAGUAUGUACAUAGUAUGUACUACAUACUUAUGUACAUACCGAUAGACCCGAUAGACGGACAUUGAAAUCUAUGCUUUGCUCCAACAAUCACACUUUACAAUUACAACUGUCGCGUGUAUGUUCACACACACAAACAUACAUCUACACAUGUUUAUUGGUGUGUAGGUGCCGCAUAUUAAUAAGCCGGGCGCGGGCGCAGAUUUAUAAAGCACACACAUACAGAUACAGACAUACGCACCACACUUAAAAUUCUACGAAACUUCUUAUUUUUAUCCAAAUUCACUUAACCAUCCAUCUGUGUCCAUAUGUAUGUAUGUGUACUCCUGGCUUGCGCCCGUGACGUCACAUUUAGUAUGCUGCCCACGAUCGAAAAUACGAUAAUUACAAAUUAAUAUUGAUCAAACGAUAUAGUAAAUGGAUUGAUAAAUAUAUGUAAGAAGAACGUUGAUCAACAAUAGAAUAAAUAUUUGCAAGCAAAAAAAGAACAUGAUCUGCAUACCAAGCUUCAAUUGGUCGUGUGCCUUGAUUUGUAUUGGUUAAGCGUGGCUUUGUUGUAACUGUAAGUGCGUGUGUGCGUUGAACAGUGGUUCGCAUAUUAUUUGACACGUAUCAGCGAACUUUAAUUUGACACUUGUUAAGCAGCAAAUAAUUUGUGUGUCACUGUGCAUGCAUAUGCGGGAUAAAUUUGGGCAAAUGAAUACGCAAGUACAUUACGAAUACAGUGAAAGCUCCAUAGCGAACACCCCUUUUGAGCGGAUUCGUUCUUCAAAAUAAAAUUUAUUGAAAACAUAAAAAACAAUGUCUGCAGAACUGCGAUUAUUUCUGAUGUAUGUAUAAAAAUCAUUUCAAUAUUAAAACUGACUAAAAUUGAUUAAAGUGGAGAGCCCUCUG